rnacentral:rRNA from 1 species
AGAGUUUGAUCAUGGCUCAGGAUGAACGCUGGCGGCGUGCCUAACACAUGCAAGUCGAGCGAUUUACUUCGGUAAAGAGCGGCGGACGGGUGAGUAACGCGUGGGUAACCUGCCCUGUACACACGGAUAACAUACCGAAAGGUAUGCUAAUACGAGAUAAUAUGCUUUUAUCGCAUGGUAGAAGUAUCAAAGCUCCGGCGGUACAGGAUGGACCCGCGUCUGAUUAGCUAGUUGGUAAGGUAACGGCUUACCAAGGCGACGAUCAGUAGCCGACCUGAGAGGGUGAUCGGCCACAUUGGAACUGAGACACGGUCCAAACUCCUACGGGAGGCAGCAGUGGGGAAUAUUGCACAAUGGGCGAAAGCCUGAUGCAGCAACGCCGCGUGAGCGAUGAAGGCCUUCGGGUCGUAAAGCUCUGUCCUCAAGGAAGAUAAUGACGGUACUUGAGGAGGAAGCCCCGGCUAACUACGUGCCAGCAGCCGCGGUAAUACGUAGGGGGCUAGCGUUAUCCGGAAUUACUGGGCGUAAAGGGUGCGUAGGUGGUUUCUUAAGUCAGAGGUGAAAGGCUACGGCUCAACCGUAGUAAGCCUUUGAAACUGGGAAACUUGAGUGCAGGAGAGGAGAGUGGAAUUCCUAGUGUAGCGGUGAAAUGCGUAGAUAUUAGGAGGAACACCAGUUGCGAAGGCGGCUCUCUGGACUGUAACCGACACUGAGGCACGAAAGCGUGGGGAGCAAACAGGAUUAGAUACCCUGGUAGU